AACAGAUUUUCCCUUGUCAUAAAUUCUCCAAUCUGCCAAAAAAGAAAAACAUAUUUUUACGAAUGUUUGUAACUUACCAGUUUAUCUACCACACUUUCUAAUGGGAAUGUAUUCAUUUUUCUGCAGCUGUAAUGAGAAAGAUGUUUCCUGUUUCUUUUCCAGGGUAGCAUUCUCAAAGUUAAGCCCCGAGAUUCUGUUCAAAAUUACCCCAAAACAGACCAGAUUUCAGAACCCUACCACAAUCACUCUGUGAAAGAAAAAGAGCCCAGCUUGUCAACAGCGGAGGCCAUUGUGGAGCCCCAUGGGAAGAAUCACAUUGUAUCAUGUUUUCAUGGAAAGGGCAGCAAUACAUCUUCUAGCAGGUUGAACCAAGGGCAAACAACAGGAGAAAAUAAAAAUGAAGAGAAGGGUAAAGUCAGUUAUUUCUAUUUUUCCCUCUUUAUGUUUUUCCUUUGUGUUGUGUGUGUGUGUGUGUGUGUGUGUGUGUUAUUUUUGUUUUGUCUUGUGGUGUUUUGCUACAUCUUAAGCUGUAAUGUGGCUACAUUACACACUGGAUGGCCCUUCCAUUUUGGAAGCCUAAACUUAUUGUAUGGGAAAGCUACAUUGAAAUAGACCAGUGCUAGCCUAUUGCUGGUUUUACCAAUCAUCCCAAUUCAGAUGCCAGAAAUGGAAACUGAGCCACCUUGACUCCUCUAUAUCAGCACAUUUAUCAGCUGAAUAUUACCAAAUUUAAUGUGAUAUGGAUCCAAAUAAUUGCUCAACUGAGCUUUACUAAAAUUCCCGACAUAAUAUUUUUAAACUACUAAAUUUCAGAUCAGUUUGUUACAUAACAAUAAAUAACAAGCAGAAAUUGGUAACAGAAUUGGAGUGUUUUAAAAAUGCCUGAAAGGUAUAACACUGUUUUAUAAUAGUGGCAGGUGGAAACUAAAAGGUCCUGAAAGAGAAUGUUCACAAUAGUUGUAGGGGCCUCAGUAAGGCUGUUGAAGGCUUGAAGGUGAGUGAGAAAAAUGGCCUUGGAGUCUGAAGAAAACAGAAACAUUCUAAUGAAAUAGCAGAAAUUUGUCAAAACUGUUUGCUGUUUGCUAUAUAACAUAGAAAAUAAAAAAAAAUGAUCUCAUAAACUUUUGUAUCUCACAAGGGAUAUUUCAGGCAUUAUCAAAGAAAUCCUCUAGUCUUCUAGCUUCCAAUGAUAAAAUAUGAGAAAUAGUGAAUUAAAUAAGUAUUGGUUUAGUUUUUGAAAAAUAUUAGAGAAAAUACACCAGCAAAACUUGCUGGUUUUACAAAUGCGACUGGUUCUCAUAUCCAUUUUUUUGUUGCAAAAGACUUUUAAAUUAAGAAAUGGAAUAAAAGUGAAGAUAGUCCGGUGGCUCACGCCUGUAAUCCCAGCACUUUGGGAGGCCGAGGUAGGCGGAUCACAAGGUCAGGAGAUCGAGACCACGGUGAAACCCCGUCUCUACUAAAAUACAAAAAUUAGCGAGCGUAGUGGCGAGCCUGUAGUCCCAGCUACUCAGGAGGCUGAGGCAGGAGAAUGGCGUAAACCCAGGAGGCGGAGCUUGCAGUGAGCGAGAUGUACUGCACUCCAGCCUGGGCGACAGAGUGAGACUCCGUCUCAAAAAAAAAAAAAAAAAAAAAAAGUGAAGAUCAAGUCCAAGGUGACACCAGUAAACAUAGCCUGAGGGUUAAAAUUUCAUCUGUGUGGCUGUAAGAGCCUUUGUGCAGACCCCAGAAAAAUUCACGGGCCUAUCCAAUAUGGCAUUUAAAUCUCUUAAGGGUAUUGUAAAAUAGCACCCUGACUC
rnacentral:lncRNA from 1 species